AACCCCUCUCUUCUCUCCCAG
rnacentral:miRNA from 1 species